CUCAUGGAAACUUUUUGUUGCCUUUAAAGACCGUUAAGGUCAAAAGUCCAACUGCAUAAAACCUAGAUCAACAAGUAUCUCUCAGAAAAACAAAUGCCAUGCCUUUGUUGUGUCUAAAGACGAAAGUAAUGAAAAAUACAUUGAAAUAAGGUAACUGUAGUUGGCCUACCCUAUGUUGUUCAAUUGAGCCCUUAGCAUUAAUAUGACAUGAUAAACAGUCUUUCUACUUCAAAAUGUGAAUAAUAUCCUUUUCCCACUAGAGGGACCUCCGUGGAUGGAUGACUAAUACUUCACAGACCUUUCUAAGCAUGUUAUAAAUAGCCUAAAGUAACAUCAGAAUCUUGUUGUGGAAACAUUUUGUAAAACAACAAAAAAAUAAGUCCAUGUUUCAAUUAUGUAGUUUACAACAUAAAUUAAGAGCGCUGGACCAUCUUAGCCCUUGGUCAGCAAUGGAUGGUCUGACAUUUCUAAUACUCUUUCCUGUAUUUAUCCUAACGUCUCUAUCAAUAGCCUGUAUAUGUAGAAAUUCAUUUAAAAAAACUGAGGCGAGUCCGAUGUAAUUUUGGUCUGUUUUCUGCAGCACACCUCAAAUACUGUGGAUAAAAUAUUAUUUAAAAAAAUAUUAUAAAAAUAGAGCCUUUUUGCGGGAUGAGCUAGAACAGAAAGUGAAAAUAAGCUCACUUGUAAAAAAUGUACAGACGAAACUAGGCCAAUCUCAUUGUUGAUAAUGGAUUUCCUAAAAGCUCAAAUGUAAUCAAGUGUAGGCUACUCAGUUGAUGCAAUUUCGAACAACCGUCGACAAAGUGGUUUUGGACAUUGCAUUAACGUUAAUCCUAUCGAGUAACUCUUUUGAUCAUGAAAUGAAUAAACCCCAAGACGGGAGUCACACAGACCCCUAUCAUACGACCUUUGAAACUUCAACGUGGAGGAGAAAACACAGAAAUUAUCAACCCUUUAAAAAUGAAAAUUAUUGGUUCCUUUUGUGGGGGAAAGGACAUUGUUUGAAUACAUCCUACUUGGCGACAUUACCAAUACGAUAUUUCCAGCCUCGGAUGUUAAACAUGUGAAGAUCGUGUCAGAAAAUAAUUAAUAAUGUUUCUCUCAAACUGGCUGCGGCGAAUCCCAGUCUGGCUGCCAUUUAACUCCAACUCUUUAGAUAGUGUAUUUCAAGGUCUAGUUGGUGCAUGUGGAAUCUCUGUGCUAUAUAAUCUCCUGAGAGUUCACCUACACUGUCAGUCGUCCAGAAGUGGUUCUGAAUUUGAUGCGGACACUACAGAGGGGGAAAGGUCCAGUUCUUCACCUACAGCUGGCCGAAGCCGGCUAGGGGGACAUGGGUUGAGUGUUGCUCUUCAGUUCUGGUUCCUGACUGGAAUCCUGUCUCUGGUAGGCCCACGGGUCUCCUCGCUGCUGGUCCUGGAGUUCUCCCUAAGGGCUGUCAUUGCCUGGAUCAAUGUAGGACCGGAUGUCCUCCAGGGGAAUAACCAGCUCAUGGUUCAGUGCCAGUUUUCCCUGGGCUGUGCUCUGAGCUGCAGUCUCCACUACCUCCAGGAGGGGGCUCCACACCGCUCUCUGAGCCUCCUCCUGGCAGCCGGGCUCAGCUGGCUGCUGGCGGCUCACUGCACCCGUCUCUGGGGCCAUGUCUCUAGGCUCUACCUCCUGCACAGCUCCCAGCGCUACUGCGGGGUCUGCAACAUGCUUUUGAGCUCCGGCCACUCCCUGCUCCCCUCACUGCAGAGGGCCGUGGUCGUGGCCUUCACCAUAGCAGGCGUGCCUGCCCUCGCCACAGUGCACCACCACUUCCUGUCAGAGGCCGAGUCUCUUAAGUUCUGGACACCUCUGACCAUCUGUUACACCCUGUUGGUGGUCCAUGUCCAAGGGAGGAAAACCCUGCUGCACACGGUGGCCCUGCGCUUGGGAGGCCUGCUGGUGCUCAUGCUUACGGUGGGCUGGUGGAGUGAUGCGCUCCACAUCCUCGUCGCCUGCCUGGGGGAAGCUGCCUGCUUGCUUCUAUCUCAGGAUCUCCUCCAGACACUUUCCCAGGUCACCGCCUCUGCCUGUGCACGUCUCUCCUUGUUUGUCCUUUUGACGCUCUCUUUCACUCUGUCUUUCAGCCCCCCUCGCUGUGUAUUCUGUUUCAUGACAUUCACUGGUGUUAUACUUUCCUUCAGGGGGAAGAAGACGUUCCCAGCAGAUAUGUUCGUCACUCCAGCAGCGCACGGCCGAACGUGUCAUCCCAAGGUGACACCCAGAGAGACUAACUUGCGGAAUUCCUCAACACAGACCAGUCACUGUUUCAUGUUAGCUCUUAUAGUCACAAACAACUCAUGCAUGUAGCUACAGGAAUCUGCCUAGCCUGUCUGUCCCAGUGUAAUGCCCCGAUCCAGCUCACAACCACGAUCACGGCACCAAUCCCUUGAACACAACUCACCAGGAAUCCUGGUCACCUGUUCACUCACCUGUUUCCCACUGGUUUCUCACUAUUUAGUUCUGUUCAGUGCAGCUUUUGCUUUGUGAGGUGUUGUUAGAUUUCCUGCGUUACUAACCCAACAUUUUUACAAUGUAUUCUGGAACCCUUUUGUUACGACCUAGUUUCCUCCUGACAUUGCCUGUUGCACCUCAGCCUUCUCUCCUUGGAUUAUCCCGGUUUUUGACUCCUGCCCGUUUUUGCCCCUGACUACUCUACCUGGAUCUGUACCGUUGCCUUUAAAAUAAACCUUGUGCUCUGAGCUUGAAUCCACAGUCAGUAUUCCCCAGGAUCAUUACACUGAGUAAUACUGAAUAAUUAACCAGUCUAUAACCAUGGUGUUACAUGGGUGUGGUCACUACAGCAGCAAACACACAGUCUGUUCUCUGGCCAAGUGACUGAGGUGCAGUGUUUUGGUGUGACACUGACGUUGCAGUGUUCAUGUCCACUAAAGCCAGGAACACCGUUCUGUCCUGACCGUGCUUCUGUUAGUGACUACACCUCCAGAGGGAAGGUAGCGUCAUAAGAAGUGGAGUGGAGGAUUACAUGGAAGAUCAGAAGGAGAGGUAGAAAACCGAGAGAAGCAAAGGGUCAAAGGGAAGAGGGGGAGGUGUGUGGUAACUGUUGUCUACACUGGGUGUACCUUGAACCUUAAAAACAACGAGUAAACAACCGCCUAGUUGGGCAACCCUAGUACACUCUUGUCGUUUAGCUGACGGUCUUGUUCAGGGCGAUUUGCAGUCUGACAGGAAGUACAGACAGGAAGCAUGUUUAUCAACGAACUGAAAUGGAGAAAUGAAACAUUAGGUUUAUGAUACCAGAGCUGUGGUUCGAGUUUUAAAUAUGUGGACGUGUAACCGAAUUACACAUAAGAGCAGGGUUUUGGAUUUGGCAAAGGCCACAGUAGUGGUCAUCUGAAUCAUUCCUGCUUAUACCUUUUCUGUUCUCUUACAAACAUGCACUUUUUGUGCAAUUUUCAUCACCAUCCACUUUGUUGUUUGAGUUUUGUGUUUCCCUGGGAAUUCCUCUAUUCUUACUGAAUAAACCAAAAGGCCAUUUUAUGUUAUAUGUAACAUUUUGUGUGCUGUUUUUCCUCCAUGGCCAUCACUGCUUACAAGUAUUAGUGUUGUGUUGUCAGUUUUCUCUUCUUCUGCAUCUGGGUUUCUGGGAUCUUGAUGAAGGGGGCUAUGGGGGAUGGGCUUAGAUUUUAGGGGCUGAUGUCAUCACUGGGCAUGCUCCCUUCCGAAGCUGUGACAUCACUGCGCAGCAUUCCAUUCUUCAGACACUGGAACAACACAGACCCCCGUGACCCAGCUCCCCUUCAAGCAGCUACCCUCCUUUCUCUCUCUCCAUCCCUCUGGUCUCCACUUCUCUUCUCUGUCUGUCUCCUUUUCUCUCACUCUCUGCUCUCUAUCGUGUUCUCUUUCUUCUCGUUCUUUCGCUCUUCCUCUUCAGCCCCUCAGCCCGUAAUAUUCAUGCAGGGCCAUCCACUCUCCCUCCAUUCUCUUGUUCCCCCCGUCACGUCUCUGCCGCUCUCAGACUGUUUGUUUAAACACCCCUGCACUGAUUCAGUUGUUACCUCUGUCUUCUCUCCCCUCCAUGUUUGAUCCCUCCUCUAUCUUUCAACAUUCAGUUGUUUUUUUCUGCCCUGUCCUUUCUGCCAGACGUAUUCUCUGGAACAAGGUUACGCUCGACUCAACGGCCAAAUAUUUGCUGAUUGGGCUGAUAAAGACAGGCUCAGGAGGAGGGUUAAUACCAUAACAGAGCUGAUCUCUCCGAACUC